rnacentral:rRNA from 1 species
UACGAAGGGUGCAAGCGUUACUCGGAAUUACUGGGCGUAAAGGGUGCGUAGGUGGUUUGUUAAGUCUGCUGUGAAAUCCCCGGGCUCAACCUGGGAAUGGCAGUGGAUACUGGCAAGCUAGAGUGCGGUAGAGGGUAGUGGAAUUCCCGGUGUAGCAGUGAAAUGCGUAGAGAUCGGGAGGAACACCAGUGGCGAAGGCGGCUACCUGGACCAGCACUGACACUGAAGCACGAAAGCGUGGGGAACAAACAGG